rnacentral:lncRNA from 1 species
GGGGAAUGUGUCAAAGAGACAACAACCCGACCAAAUAAAAAAUAACAGCAGAGGGUCACCAACAGGUCUUCAAUGUAGCGAGAAAUUCCCGCACCCGGAGGCGUCCUUCAACUGGCCCCUAAACAAAUAUAUACUAGUCCAGUGAUAAUGAACGCCAUACUAAUUUCCAAAUUGUACACAAGAAACUAAAAUCAAAAUAAUACAAGACUAACAAAGGCCAGAGGCUCCUGACUUGGGACAGGCGCAAAAAUGCGGCGGGGUUAAACAUGUUUGUGAGAUCUCAACCCUCCCCCUAUACCUCUAACCAAUGUAGAAAAGUAAACGAAUAACAAUACGCACAUUAAAAUUCAGUUCAAGAGAAGUCCGAGUCUGGUGUCAGAAGAUGUAACCAAAGAAAAUAAACAAAAUGACAAUAAUACAUAAAUAACAACAGACUACUAGCAGUUAACUGACAUGCCAGCUCCAGACUUCAAUUAAACUGACUGAAAGAUUAUGAUUUCAUUAUAUGAACAUCAGGC